rnacentral:rRNA from 1 species
GACGAACGCUGGCGGCGUGCCUAACACAUGCAAGUCGAACGGAACUGUUUUGAAAGCUUUCUUCGGAAUGAAUUUGAUUUAGUUUAGUGGCGGACGGGUGAGUAACGCGUGAGUAACCUGCCUUCAAGAGGGGAAUAACAUUCUGAAAAGAAUGCUAAUACCGCAUGACAUAUCGGAACCACAUGGUUUUGAUAUCAAAGAUUUUAUCGCUUGAAGAUGGACUCGCGUCCGAUUAGUUAGUUGGUGAGGUAACGGCUCACCAAGACCGCGAUCGGUAGCCGGACUGAUAGGUUGAACGGCCACAUUGGGACUGAGACACGGCCCAGACUCCUACGGGAGGCAGCAGUGGGGGAUAUUGCGCAAUGGGGGCAACCCUGACGCAGCAACGCCGCGUGAAGGAUGAAGGUUUUCGGAUUGUAAACUUCUUUUAUUAAGGACGAAAAAUGACGGUACUUAAUGAAUAAGCUCCGGCUAACUACGUG